CAUGCCUGCAGAAGGGGAAAUCAAUGACAAGCAAGCUGACUCUUGCCCUAGAACCUGGAAAAGACUAGGUAACUAUGAAGGCAGGACCGCAUGGCAAUGCUAUGAACAGGAAGGUUGGUUGGGAGUCUAUACAGAGAGCUGUAAACUUCCAGAUCUUCUCUCCCAGGCCAGGAAAUCAGAUCACUGCCCUUUUACAAUUCCAGAAAGAGAAUGGGAGGACUCUCUUUGGGAGGAUGAGCCAGAGAGACUGUACACUUAAGACUCAAGGCACAGCUAAAGGGAUCUUAGAAGUAGGUAUUAUUUCCACUUUACAGAAGAGAAAAUAUGUGUCCCACUUGCCCAAAGAAAUAGAGCUGGAGGAAAUCAACCACAACACUGUGAGGAUGUUCUAAAAGGCCUAUAGAGAGGUCCAGGUAAUGAAAAACUGAGGCCUUUUGCCAAAACCCACUUGAUAGUAAAUCCUUCUGCCCCCAUCAAGCCUUCAGAUGAUUCCAGCCUCAGCUAACAUCUUGACUACAACCUCACGAAACACCUCGCACCAGAAGAACCCAGCCAAGCUUCUGUGAAGAUCCUGACCCACAAAACUGAUGGUGGCUGCACUUAUCAUGAUGAACACGGAGUAAUGUGUAGAAUUAUUAUGUUGUGCACCUAAAACUAACAUAACACCG